rnacentral:misc_RNA from 1 species
UGAAAAUUGGUGCAAGAUUUAUAUGAAUAUAACGAUGAGAUGGUAGAGCUGACAAAAGAAGAAGUCAAAGUUAUUUGUAGAUUGAUCAAAGGAAAGGCUCCACAUCUUAACUUAGAUCCAUAUCCAACUUACAGUGACUGGUUUAAAUGGGACGCUGAGCAUCCGCUGUCAAAUACUCCAGACCCAAAGAGGCGGUUUACUCCUUCAAAAUGGGAAGCUAAAAUGUCUACAGGUUGUUAAAUAUGUUAGGGC